UUAAGCGACUAAGCGUACACGGUGGAUGCCCUGGCAGUCAGAGGCGAUGAAGGACGUGCUAAUCUGCGAUAAGCGUCGGUAAGGUGAUAUGAACCGUUAUAACCGGCGAUUUCCGAAUGGGGAAACCCAGUGUGAUUCGUCACACUAUCAUUAACUGAAUCCAUAGGUUAAUGAGGCGAACCGGGGGAACUGAAACAUCUAAGUACCCCGAGGAAAAGAAAUCAACCGAGAUUCCCCCAGUAGCGGCGAGCGAACGGGGAGCAGCCCAGAGCCUGAAUCAGUGUGUGUGUUAGUGGAAGCGUCUGGAAAGGCGCGCGAUACAGGGUGACAGCCCCGUACACAAAAAUGCACAUACUGUGAGCUCGAUGAGUAGGGCGGGACACGUGGUAUCCUGUCUGAAUAUGGGGGGACCAUCCUCCAAGGCUAAAUACUCCUGACUGACCGAUAGUGAACCAGUACCGUGAGGGAAAGGCGAAAAGAACCCCGGCGAGGGGAGUGAAAAAGAACCUGAAACCGUGUACGUACAAGCAGUGGGAGCACGCUUAGGCGUGUGACUGCGUACCUUUUGUAUAAUGGGUCAGCGACUUAUAUUCUGUAGCAAGGUUAACCGAAUAGGGGAGCCGAAGGGAAACCGAGUCUUAACUGGGCGUUAAGUUGCAGGGUAUAGACCCGAAACCCGGUGAUCUAGCCAUGGGCAGGUUGAAGGUUGGGUAACACUAACUGGAGGACCGAACCGACUAAUGUUGAAAAAUUAGCGGAUGACUUGUGGCUGGGGGUGAAAGGCCAAUCAAACCGGGAGAUAGCUGGUUCUCCCCGAAAGCUAUUUAGGUAGCGCCUCGUGAAUUCAUCUCCGGGGGUAGAGCACUGUUUCGGCAAGGGGGUCAUCCCGACUUACCAACCCGAUGCAAACUGCGAAUACCGGAGAAUGUUAUCACGGGAGACACACGGCGGGUGCUAACGUCCGUCGUGAAGAGGGAAACAACCCAGACCGCCAGCUAAGGUCCCAAAGUCAUGGUUAAGUGGGAAACGAUGUGGGAAGGCCCAGACAGCCAGGAUGUUGGCUUAGAAGCAGCCAUCAUUUAAAGAAAGCGUAAUAGCUCACUGGUCGAGUCGGCCUGCGCGGAAGAUGUAACGGGGCUAAACCAUGCACCGAAGCUGCGGCAGCGACGCUGAUGCGUUGUUGGGUAGGGGAGCGUUCUGUAAGCCUGCGAAGGUGUGCUGUGAGGCAUGCUGGAGGUAUCAGAAGUGCGAAUGCUGACAUAAGUAACGAUAAAGCGGGUGAAAAGCCCGCUCGCCGGAAGACCAAGGGUUCCUGUCCAACGUUAAUCGGGGCAGGGUGAGUCGACCCCUAAGGCGAGGCCGAAAGGCGUAGUCGAUGGGAAACAGGUUAAUAUUCCUGUACUUGGUGUUACUGCGAAGGGGGGACGGAGAAGGCUAUGUUGGCCGGGCGACGGUUGUCCCGGUUUAAGCGUGUAGGCUGGUUUUCCAGGCAAAUCCGGAAAAUCAAGGCUGAGGCGUGAUGACGAGGCACUACGGUGCUGAAGCAACAAAUGCCCUGCUUCCAGGAAAAGCCUCUAAGCAUCAGGUAACAUCAAAUCGUACCCCAAACCGACACAGGUGGUCAGGUAGAGAAUACCAAGGCGCUUGAGAGAACUCGGGUGAAGGAACUAGGCAAAAUGGUGCCGUAACUUCGGGAGAAGGCACGCUGAUAUGUAGGUGAGGUCCCUCGCGGAUGGAGCUGAAAUCAGUCGAAGAUACCAGCUGGCUGCAACUGUUUAUUAAAAACACAGCACUGUGCAAACACGAAAGUGGACGUAUACGGUGUGACGCCUGCCCGGUGCCGGAAGGUUAAUUGAUGGGGUCAGCGCAAGCGAAGCUCUUGAUCGAAGCCCCGGUAAACGGCGGCCGUAACUAUAACGGUCCUAAGGUAGCGAAAUUCCUUGUCGGGUAAGUUCCGACCUGCACGAAUGGCGUAAUGAUGGCCAGGCUGUCUCCACCCGAGACUCAGUGAAAUUGAACUCGCUGUGAAGAUGCAGUGUACCCGCGGCAAGACGGAAAGACCCCGUGAACCUUUACUAUAGCUUGACACUGAACAUUGAGCCUUGAUGUGUAGGAUAGGUGGGAGGCUUUGAAGUGUGGACGCCAGUCUGCAUGGAGCCGACCUUGAAAUACCACCCUUUAAUGUUUGAUGUUCUAACGUUGACCCGUGAUCCGGGUUGCGGACAGUGUCUGGUGGGUAGUUUGACUGGGGCGGUCUCCUCCUAAAGAGUAACGGAGGAGCACGAAGGUUGGCUAAUCCUGGUCGGACAUCAGGAGGUUAGUGCAAUGGCAUAAGCCAGCUUGACUGCGAGCGUGACGGCGCGAGCAGGUGCGAAAGCAGGUCAUAGUGAUCCGGUGGUUCUGAAUGGAAGGGCCAUCGCUCAACGGAUAAAAGGUACUCCGGGGAUAACAGGCUGAUACCGCCCAAGAGUUCAUAUCGACGGCGGUGUUUGGCACCUCGAUGUCGGCUCAUCACAUCCUGGGGCUGAAGUAGGUCCCAAGGGUAUGGCUGUUCGCCAUUUAAAGUGGUACGCGAGCUGGGUUUAGAACGUCGUGAGACAGUUCGGUCCCUAUCUGCCGUGGGCGCUGGAGAACUGAGGGGGGCUGCUCCUAGUACGAGAGGACCGGAGUGGACGCAUCACUGGUGUUCGGGUUGUCAUGCCAAUGGCACUGCCCGGUAGCUAAAUGCGGAAGAGAUAAGUGCUGAAAGCAUCUAAGCACGAAACUUGCCCCGAGAUGAGUUCUCCCUGACUCCUUGAGAGUCCUGAAGGAACGUUGAAGACGACGACGUUGAUAGGCCGGGUGUGUAAGCGCAGCGAUGCGUUGAGCUAACCGGUACUAAUGAACCGUGAGGCUUAACCUU
rnacentral:rRNA from 1 species